rnacentral:misc_RNA from 1 species
AACGCACAUUGCGCCCUCUGGUAUUCCGGGGGGCAUGCCUGUUCGAGCGUCAUUACAACCCUCAAGCUCUGCUUGGUAUUAGACUUCACCUGCUACAGGUGGGUCUUAAAAUCAGUGGCGGUGCCAUCUGGCUUCAAGCGUAGUAAUUUUUCUCACUUGGGAGUACCAGUUGUGUGCUUGCUAUAAAACCCCAAUUUUUAAAGGUUGACCUCGGAUCAGGUAGGGAUACCCGCUGAACUUAA